ACGCGAAGAACCUUACCGGGAUUUGACAUCCUACUAACGAGGCAGAGAUGCAUUAGGUGCCCUUCGGGGAAAGUAGAGACAGGUGGUGCAUGGUUGUCGUCAGCUCGUGUCGUGAGAUGUUGGGUUAAGUCCCGCAACGAGCGCAACCCCUAUUGUUAGUUGCUACGCAAGAGCACUCUAGCGAGACUGCCGUUGACAAAACGGAGGAAGGCGGGGACGACGUCAAAUCAUCAUGCCCCUUAUGUCCCGGGCUACACACGUAAUACAAUGGCGGUCACCAGAGGGAAGCAAAGCCGCGAGGCAGAGCAAACCCCUAAAAGCCGUCUCAGUUCGGAUUGCAGGCUGCAACUCGCCUGCAUGAAGUUGGAAUUGCUAGUAAUCGUGGAUCAGCAUGCCACGGUGAAUACGUUCCCGGGCCUUGUACACACCGCCCGU
rnacentral:rRNA from 1 species